UACGUAGGGUACAAGCGUUAAUCGGAAUUACUGGGCGUAAAGCGUGCGCAGGCGGUUAUGUAAGACAGGUGUGAAAUCCCCGGGCUUAACCUGGGAACUGCAUUUGUGACUGCAUAGCUAGAGUACGGUAGAGGGGGAUGGAAUUCCGCGUGUAGCAGUGAAAUGCGUAGAUAUGCGGAGGAACACCGAUGGCGAAGGCAAUCCCCUGGACCUGUACUGACGCUCAUGCACGAAAGCGUGGGGAGCAAACAGG
rnacentral:rRNA from 1 species